AUCCAUUUCCUGGAAUUUUCCAGCUUCUACAGUCUUCCCCCCCAUUCCUUGUAACCCUUUUCUCUUCUAAUUCAGUAAUGCCAGCUGAGUCCCUCUCAUGCUGCCAUCUUGGAUUCUUUCAGGUCUGUCUCUGUCCUCCAUUUAUAAGCAAUUUUUCAACUGUAUUGAGCCAACCUGGAUAACCCAAAAUAAUCUCUUCAUCUCAAAAUAAACUGAUAAGCAACCUCAUUUCCAUCUGCAAUCUUAAUUCUCCUUUGUCAGAGUGGCUGCACCAGUGUACAUUCCCCCAACAGUGCACAGAGUUUCCUUUUACUACAUAUCCUUGCUAACACUUGUUAUUUUGUGUCCUUUUGAUACUAGCUAUUUGGACAGGUGUAAGGAGGAUACAGCUUUCAAGCAACAAUGAGGAUAUUUACUACUAUGACAUCUCUUCAAGAUAGAGUUCCAAACCCUUCAAGACCUGAGAAGAUGGUACUGAUUAUUUCCCACAUGUUUGUCAAGGUCAUUGAGGGAAAAAAAUAGUGUAAGAAGUUAAUAUUGCAGGAAAGACUUCACAUCAAAAAUGAAAUAAUAUUUGAGACUGAAAAAGAUAUUUUAUCCCCAUAGCUCUGCCAAACUCAGUGUCUACACAAAUUAUUAUCUCUCUUUUAAGUGUCAGUAAGUUAUAGUUAUGUAAGUUACAGUUCUCUAAGGGCAGCUUUAACUGCUUUCUGUUACCUAGAAAUUUCCUCUGUUUUACUUCUCUUAGUUAAAAUGAGUUCCAUUUUUACAAUGCCAUUUCCUUUUAUGUCAGAAUUGUGUGUCAUGGUAUAGAGUUUCCAAUUGAAUAUACCUAUUCUCUUUCUCGCUACAAAAUAUACAUACCAAAUGAAUAUCUUAAGUAUAACUUGCUAAAAUAAAGGAUAUCACAUUUCAGUUGCUUGUGGAUACUGAUAGUCUUUGUACUAAAAUCUUAGUAUGUAUCCUCACUUUAAGAAUUGUCAGUUUGCUGAAUACAAGAAAAGUUCACUUACUCAUGGAGGAGAUAAUGUUAACAACUAAUAACUCAUAGAUUAACACUACAGUAAGCUUUUAUUCCUAGAAUAAAAGAUAAAUAUAUUAUGACUUCUCUACUCUUAUUUAUAAUUUCAUUAUCAGCUAUGUGGAAACUGUCUAAACAUUAUUUUAUAUAUAAAUUC